rnacentral:rRNA from 1 species
UACGGAGGGGGCUAGCGUUGUUCGGAAUUACUGGGCGUAAAGCGCACGUAGGCGGCUUUGUAAGUUAGAGGUGAAAGCCCGGAGCUCAACUCCGGAACUGCCUUUAAGACUGCAUCGCUUGAAUCAUGGAGAGGUCAGUGGAAUUCCGAGUGUAGAGGUGAAAUUCGUAGAUAUUCGGAAGAACACCAGUGGCGAAGGCGACUUACUGGACACAUAUUGACGCUGAGGUGCGAAAGCGUGGGGAGCAAACAGG